GAUGAACGCUGGCGGCGUGCCUAAUACAUGCAAGUCGAGCGAACAGACGAGGAGCUUGCUCCUCUGACGUUAGCGGCGGACGGGUGAGUAACACGUGGAUAACCUACCUAUAAGACUGGGAUAACUUCGGGAAACCGGAGCUAAUACCGGAUAAUAUAUUGAACCGCAUGGUUCAAUAGUGAAAGACGGUUUUGCUGUCACUUAUAGAUGGAUCCGCGCCGCAUUAGCUAGUUGGUAAGGUAACGGCUUACCAAGGCAACGAUGCGUAGCCGACCUGAGAGGGUGAUGGGCCACACUGGAACUGAGACACGGUCCAGACUCCUACGGGAGGCAGCAGUAGGGAAUCUUCCGCAAUGGGCGAAAGACUGACGGAGCAACGCCGCGUGAGUGAUGAAGGUCUUCGGAUCGUAAAACUCUGUUAUUAGGGAAGAACAAAUGUGUAAGUAACUAUGCACGUCUUGACGGUACCUAAUCAGAAAGCCACGGCUAACUACGUG
rnacentral:rRNA from 1 species